rfam:Rhizobium freirei PRF 81 Cont730, whole genome shotgun sequence.
GUCGACGCCAAAAAGAGUCGACUACGUCAGGGGCGCCGAGCUUCUUGGCGUUCCUCGUAUCUAUGUUGCUCCGUGGAGGAUGUAGCUAUGAGAA